GACGAACGCUGGCGGCGUGCCUAAUACAUGCAAGUCGAACGAAGCUGUUUUAACUGGUGCUUGCACCGACUUAAACAACUGAGUGGCGAACGGGUGAGUAACACGUGGGUAACCUGCCCCAAAGCGGGGGAUAACAUUUGGAAACAGAUGCUAAUACCGCAUAACCACAGAAACCACAUGGUUUCUGUGUCAAAGAUGGUUUCGGCUAUCACUUCGGGAUGGACCCGCGGCGUAUUAGCUAGUUGGUAAGGUAAUGGCUUACCAAGGCAAUGAUGCGUAGACGAACUGAGAGGUUGAUCGGACACAUUGGGACUGAGACACGGCCCAAACUCCUACGGGAGGCAGCAGUAGGGAAUCUUCCACAAUGGACGAAAGUCUGAUGGAGCAACGCCGCGUGAGUGAAGAAGGUUUUCGGAUCGUAAAACUCUGUUGUCAGAGAAGAACGUGUGCGAGAGUAACUGCUCGUGCAGUGACGGUAUCUGGCCUGAAAGCCACGGCUAACUACGUGCCAGCCGCCGCGGUAA
rnacentral:rRNA from 1 species